AGAGUUUGAUCCUGGCUCAGAACGAACGCUGGCGGCAGGCCUAACACAUGCAAGUCGAGCGCUCACUUCGGUGGGAGCGGCGGACGGGUUAGUAACGCGUGGGAACAUACCCUUCUCUAAGGAAUAGCCACUGGAAACGGUGAGUAAUACCUUAUACGCCCUUCGGGGGAAAGAUCUAUCGGAGAUGGAUUGGCCCGCGUUAGAUUAGAUAGUUGGUGGGGUAAUGGCCUACCAAGUCUACGAUCUAUAGCUGGUUUAAGAGGAUGAUCAGCAACACUGGGACUGAGACACGGCCCAGACUCCUACGGGAGGCAGCAGUGGGGAAUCUUAGACAAUGGGCGAAAGCCUGAUCUAGCCAUGCCGCGUGAGUGAUGAAGGCCUUAGGGUCGUAAAGCUCUUUCGCCAGGGAUGAUAAUGACAGUACCUGGUAAAGAAACCCCGGCUAACUCCGUGCCAGCAGCCGCGGUAAUACGGAGGGGGUUAGCGUUGUUCGGAAUUACUGGGCGUAAAGCGCGCGUAGGCGGAUCAGAAAGUUGGGGGUGAAAUCCCAGGGCUCAACCCUGGAACUGCCUCCAAAACUCCUGGUCUUGAGUUCGAGAGAGGUGAGUGGAAUUCCGAGUGUAGAGGUGAAAUUCGUAGAUAUUCGGAGGAACACCAGUGGCGAAGGCGGCUCACUGGCUCGAUACUGACGCUGAGGUGCGAAAGUGUGGGGAGCAAACAGGAUUAGAUACCCUGGUAGUCCACACCGUAAACGAUGAAUGCCAGACGUCGGGCAGUAUACUGUUCGGUGUCACACCUAACGGAUUAAGCAUUCCGCCUGGGGAGUACGGUCGCAAGAUUAAAACUUAAAGGAAUUGACGG
rnacentral:rRNA from 1 species